UAAGGAAUAUUGGACAAUGGAGGCAACUCUGAUCCAGCCAUGCCGCGUGAAGGAAUAAGGCCCUAUGGGUUGUAAACUUCUUUUAGACGGGACAAAACCCCUUUACGUGUAAAGGGUUGAUGGUACUGUCAGAAUAAGCAUCGGCUAACUUCGUGCCAGCAGCCGCGGUAAUACGAAGGAUGCAAGCGUUAUCCGGAAUUAUUGGGUUUAAAGGGUGCGUAGGCGGACUAAUAAGUCAGUGGUGAAAGCCUGCAGCUUAACUGCAGAAUUGCCAUUGAUACUGGUAGUCUUGAGUACAGUUGAGGUAGGCGAAAUGUGUCAUGUAGCGGUGAAAUGCUUAGAUAUGACACAGAACACCGAUUGCGAAGGCAGCUUGCUAAGCUGUAACUGACGCUGAGGCACGAAAGCGUGGGGAGCAAACA
rnacentral:rRNA from 1 species